UAGGGAAUUUUCCACAAUGGGCGCAAGCCUGAUGGAGCAACGCCGCGUGAGGGAUGAAGGGUUUCGGCUUGUAAACCUCUUUGGAGUGAGACGAACGGUCUGUCGGUGAACAAUCGGCGGAAGUGACGGUAUCACUAGAACAAGUCACGGCUAACUCUGUGCCAGCAGCCGCGGUAAUACAGAGGUGACUAACGUUGUCCGGAAUUAUUGGGCGUAAAGGGUGCGUAGGUGGUUUGAUAAGUCAGCGGUGAAAGUUUGCAGCUUAACUGUAAAAAUGCCGUUGAAACUGUCGGACUUGAGUGUAAAUGAGGUAGGCGGAAUGCGUGGUGUAGCGGUGAAAUGCAUAGAUAUCACGCAGAACUCCGAUUGCGAAGGCAGCUUACUAAGCUACAACUGACACUGAAGCACGAAAGCGUGGGGAUCAAACA
rnacentral:rRNA from 1 species